rnacentral:rRNA from 1 species
GGGUGCGAUCAUACCAGCACUAAUGCACCGGAUCCCAUCAGAACUCCGAAGUUAAACGUGCUUGGGCGAGAGUAGUGCUAAGAUGGGUGACCUCUUGCGAAGUCCUCGUGUCGCACCCC